rnacentral:tRNA from 1 species
UGGGGCGUAGCCAAGUUGGUAAGGCGCCGCGCUCUGGACGCGGAGAUCCUGGGUUCGAGUCCUAGCGCCCCAGCCA